UACGUAGGGGGCAAGCGUUGUCCGGAUUUAUUGGGCGUAAAGAGCGUGUAGGCGGCCAAGCAGGUCCGCUGUGAAACUCGAGGCUCAACCUCGAGACGUCGGUGGAAACCGUUUGGCUAGAGUCCGGAAGAGGAGAGUGGAAUUCCCGGUGUAGCGGUGAAAUGCGCAGAUAUCGGGAAGAACACCCGUGGCGAAGGCGGCUCUCUGGGACGGUACUGACGCUGAGACGCGAAAGCGUGGGAGGCGAACGAGG
rnacentral:rRNA from 1 species